rnacentral:rRNA from 1 species
GCAAGUCGAGCGCGAAAGCCCCUUCGGGGGUGAGUAGAGCGGCGCAAGGGCGAGGAAUACGUUCCUACGUACCCCGAGGUCAGGGAUAGCCCAGGGAAACCUGGAUUAAUACCUGAUGUGGUCCUUCGGGAUCAAUGGCUUGCUGCCUCGGGAGCGGGGAACGUCCUAUCAGGUUGUUGGUGAGGUAACGGCUCACCAAGCCAAAGACGGGUAGCGGGUGUGAGAGCAUGACCCGCCGCAUCGGGACUGAGACACUGCCCGGACUCCUACGGGAGGCUGCAGUAACGAAUCUUCCGCAAUGCGCGAAAGCGUGACGGAGCAAUGCCGCGUGCAGGAUGAAGCCCCUCGGGGUGUAAACUGCUGUCAGGGUUUAGGAACACAAUGACCAGACCCAAAGGAAGGGCCGGCUAACUUCGUGCCAGCAGCCGCGGUAAUACGAAGGGCCCGAGCGUUACUCGGAAUCAUUGGGCUUAAAGCGUACGUAGGCGGGCGCGCAGGCACCUUGUGAAAUCCCUCGGCUCAACCGAGGAAUUGCUUGGUGAACCGCGUGCCUUGAGACAAGUAGGGGCUGUCGGAACGAUAGGUGGAGCGGUGAAAUGCGUUGAUAUCUAUCGGAACGCCGAAGGAGAAAUCAGGCAGCUGGGCUUGUUCUGACGCUGAGGUACGAAAGCGUGGGGAGCGAACGGGAUUAGAUACCCCGGUAGUCCACGCCGUAAACGAUGUGCACUAGAUCGAGGGGACUCUGACGUCGCUCUCGGUCGAAGCAAAAGUGUUAAGUG